rnacentral:lncRNA from 1 species
CUUUCUUAAUAAUAUAAUAAUCGAAAAUAAAAAUAAAAAACAUAAUAUAAAAAAGCCUUAUAUAAAGGAUAGUUUUUGUUUCAACCAUAAUAAUGACGAAUAUGAGAAGGUUGUUAAUUCCUUAAUGCCUUCGCAGGUAUGUAAGAGUGUUGCUAUAAAUACCAAUUUAUCAAAUAUGUAUGAUGAUAAAAGUGAUACACAUUCAUGUCAUGACAAUAUGCUAAACAAACUAACAAGUAAAUUAUAUGAUGAAUAUAUAAAUGAAACUAAUUGUUUUUGUUUUAAAAAUAAAAAAGAACGAAAAGAAAUGAAAGACGUAAAAGAAAUUAAAGACGUAAAGGAAAUGAAAGAUGUAAAAGAAAUGAAAGAUGUAAAAGAAAUUAAAGACGUAAAAGAAAUAAAAGACGUAAAAGAAAUGAAAGAUGUAAAAGAAAUGAAAGACGUAACAGAUGUGUAUAAUUUAUAUGAAAAUUCUUCUAAGUGCUUAUUAUUAAAUAACAAAAAUGUAUUUAAUAAGGGUGACAGUUAUUUGAAUGGCAACAGUAGAAGUGGUAGUGGUGGUAGUGGUAAUGGUGGUAGUGGUAAUGGUGGUAGCGGUAAUGGUGGUAGCGGUAAUGGUGGUAGCGGUAGUGGUACUGGUGGUGGUAAUGGUACUGGUACUGCUAGUAGUAGUAGUGUUGGUGCUAGCACUAAUACCUGGGCUGAUGUUGGUAAUGUUAAGGAACGUAAUAAAAUAAACUUGGAUAACAUUGUGAGUGAUAAAAUUAAAUACGAUGUUAAUAAAGUUGUAAAUGCAAUAAAAUUACGAAAUCUAGAGUAUAUGCAUAUAAAUGGUAAUACAAAAAAUGGGACAUAUAUAAGAACAGAACAGACGCACCAAAAAAAAAAUAAAAACGAAUGCUGUUUAAGUAAUGUAUAUAAUAAGAUUGAUCGUAAUAGUAAUAAUUGUAGUAACAGUAAUAGUAAUAGUAAUAAUUGUAGUAAUAGUAACAGUAAUAGUAACAGUAAUAGUAACAGUAAUAGUAACAGUAAUAGUAAUAGUAAUAGUAAUAGUAAUAGUAAUAGUAAUAGUAANNNNNNNNNNAAUAGUAAUAGUAAUAGUAAUAGUAAUAGUAAUAGUAAUAGUAAUAGGCAAAAGUAUAUGUUUGUCCUUCCUAAUGAUAAAAACAAUGCUGAUGAUGGUUAUACAUUGAAAGAAUAUGACAGGUAUAGAAACAACAAUAUUAACUAUUAUACUUUUCAUAAUAAUAAUGUAAAUCAUGUUUUUAAUUCAGACUUUAAUAUGGCGGACUCUGAUGUUCCAACUGAUAGGAACAUCAAUGACAAUAAUGUGACUAACUAUAGCAGUAGCAAUAGAAGUUAUAAUAAUAUCGUGAUUAGUAACUAUAACCAUGAUAUUAAAAAUAAUUCAAAACAACAUUCUUUUUUUAAUAAUAUUAAUGACGCUUUAAUUUAUAAUGAUGUAAAAAAUAGUGUGCCUGAUGUUAAUGGUAAUAGCAUAUUGCGUGAUAAGAAAAAUGAUAUACAUAAUACGGAAAAACAUAAAUUUUUUUUUUUUAAUAACAAAAGUAAUGUGAAUAAUAAAAAGAAUACAGUAAACAAUUUUAUCAUGAAUGACGUUUAUAAAACUGAUGCAAAUGUAAAUGACAUGUAUGCUUCUGAUACGUAUGAAAACGACACAUACCCCAACAAUAUAUAUACUGACAAUAUAUAUACCGACAAUAUAUAUACUGACAAUAUAAACAUAGACACGCACACCGACACACACACAGACACACACACAGACACACACACAGACACACACACAGACACACACACCGACACACACACAGAUACAUAUACUGACACAUACAUUGACACAUACACUGAUUCGUGUACUGAUACGCAUACCGAUUCGUACGCUGAUGUAUACACUAAUAUGCCCUCAAAUACAUACCUUAAAAGAAAUGCAAAAAUACAAAACAAUAAUAAUAGCAUAAAUAAAAAUGCGUUAAAGUUUUAUGAUUAUAUGAAGGAUAGGUUUCAAUUUUUUGAUUUAUUCGAAGACAAAAACAGCACGCUCACAUCCUCACACUCACCUUUUUAUAAUUAUAAUUUAUUAACAGGUGUGGAAAAAAAUAAAGCCGACAAUUUAAUAUGCAGCAAUGAAACACAUAAUUUAGAAAUGGCCAAAGGCAGUAUUAUUGAUAAUAAUAGAAUUAGCAAUGAUAUGAAUAACAAUACUCAAAACAAGUUCUUCAUGAGUGAGGACGAUGAUUCAUUAUUUCUAGAGUACGAGAAUAAUAUGAACUUUAAUUUUUUGAAUAGGGUUGAUUAAUUAAUUAGUUUUUCAGAGAGCACAAAUAAACACAAGCGAC